UAAAUCAACAUUUUAUUUUAUGUGCACGAAUCAUAUAGAAUAGAUUUGACUGGCUUCACCACGACUUUAAAUGCAGCAUUUAAAAUUUAUUUAUCAACAACGAUAUUCAAUGGCUAACUACAUACAAUAUAAUGGAAAUUUAUUUAUAUACUAUCAGGCCACCUAAUGAAUUUUAUGUGCAAUGAUCGAUGGUAGAUAAUUAUCAAUACUUGCACAUAAAACUUAAUAGCUAACAGUAAUUUUUGCCUCAACAACAUGGCUGGAUGUUGAGUGUUGGCUGUCGACGAAAUUUUUCUCUGGCGGAAAAUUUUUGGUUUGAAUUCCGGCCAUAGACGAUAACAAAAACGCAAAGCCAGCUAUUCUUAGACAUCACCAGCCAGUUUUGCUGUGCCAGGCCCAGGAUAUCUGCGCGUCGGGGUAACUUUUCCAUUAUGGAAUCAAGUAGAUCGACAAUGGUGUGCUUGCAAUGGUGUGAUGACCCGACAGGCGGUGUUUUGCACAAAUAAAACCUCGAAAUCAUCUAUAUAUAGAAGAAAUCACUGCCAUUCAUUUUCAUUCCAACAAGUCAAGUUCUAGCCAUCGGUCGGCAUCUUGUUUUAGUUGGGUGGAUAAUAGGCCUUUGCCUGUGAUCUACCAGAAGCAUCUGUGUAACAUACAGCCGAUCAAAUAACCGACUAAAUCGACCGAUUUGAGCAGUCAUGUUUUAUAGGGAAGCAAAAAAUAUUGUGCUAGCUAUUGCCUCUCUUCUUGUUAUUUAGUGGCAACUUCUGAAAAUUUCUCCAGCAAUCAUCGCUAAUUUGAUCUUAUAUAAAGCUGAAA